rnacentral:rRNA from 1 species
GACGAACGCUGGCGGCGUGCUUAACACAUGCAAGUCGAACGGAAAGGCCCUGCGCUUGUGGGGUGCUCGAUUGGCGAACGGGGGAGUAACACGCGAGUAACCUGCCCUUGACUUUGGGAUAACUUCAGGAAACUGGGGCUAAUACCGGAGAGGAUCUCCUGCUGCAUGGUGUUGGUUGGAGAGUUUCGGCGGUUCGGGAUGGACUAGAGGCUUAUCAGCUGGUUGGUGGGGUAGGGGCUUACCAAGGCUUUGACGGGUAGCCGGCAUGAGAGGGUGGCCAGCCACCUUAGGCCUGAGAUACGGCCCAGAAUCGUACCGGAGGCAGCAGUGGGGAAUAUUGCACAGUGGGCGGAAGCCUGAUGCAGAGACGCCGCGUGCGGGAUGACGGCCUUCGGGUUGUAAACCGAUUUCGACUGUGACGAAGCGUGAGUGACGGUAAUGGGUCAAGAAGCACCGGCUAACUACGUG